AUGGCCAAAACUUCAACUGGUUCUGAAAGGUUUCGUAUCCAGAUCGAAGAGCAAGCUCGUGCUACAGCAGCCACCCAGGAGCGAAACUCUCAGCUUAGCCAGCAGGUCAACGAAUUAGAAGAUCAACUACAAGCUGAACGUGCAAACACACAAGAGAGGAUUAACUUGGAGCAUGCUGAGAGAGAACAACUUGAGGAGAGGUUAAAAGAAGAGUGUGCUGAAAGGGAAAGAUUGUUGCAAGAGGAGCGAACAUCAAGACUGGAAUUUGAAAGAAACAUGAUGGCAAAGUUUGUAGAAUUGAGCCAACAGAUGGGAACCCAACAGAGAUCUAGUCCUAAUAAGACUCCAGGUUCAAGGCCAACUGCUAUUUCUUCAAAUGCGCUCAUACAAGCUGCAGCAAGGCAUUCUCGAAUGUUUAAAGCAAUGAUGUACGAUCGGACAAUGGCACCAUUCUGUAUGCAUGAGCAGGAUGUCAUGAGGAUGCGCGUAAUACCUUCGCUGAUGAGUCCACUGCAAUGUCCCAUGCAGUAUCUCUUGCCGCUGAUAUGGGGGUCGUGA
rnacentral:rRNA from 1 species